AAAUGAUGAAAUUGAAAAAUAGAUGACGAGUCUGAGUUGUUUUUAACACUGAAGACACUUUUUUUUAAAUUAUACCAUUCAUGCCUAACUGAAA
rnacentral:snoRNA from 1 species